rnacentral:tRNA from 1 species
GGAGAGAUGGCUCAGCGGUUAAGAGCAUUAACUACUCUUCCAAAGGACCUGGGUUCAAUUCCCAGUACCCACA